rnacentral:rRNA from 1 species
GAUCCUGGCUCAGGAUGAACGCUGGCGGCGUGCUUAACACAUGCAAGUCGAGCGGUAGCACAGAGAGCUUGCUCUCGGGUGACGAGCGGCGGACGGGUGAGUAAUGUCUGGGAAACUGCCUGAUGGAGGGGGAUAACUACUGGAAACGGUAGCUAAUACCGCAUAAUGUCGCAAGACCAAAGUGGGGGGACCUUCGGGCCUCAUGCCAUCAGAUGUGCCCAGAUGGGA